UACGUAGGGGGCAAGCGUUGUCCGGAUUUAUUGAGCGUAAAGCGCGCAUAGGCGGCGCGGUAUGUCGUGCGUGAAAUCUCCCAGCUUAACUGGGAGGGGCCGUGCGAAACUGCCGGGCUUGAGGUCGGAAGGGGAAAGUGGAAUUCCGGGUGUAAUGGUGGAAUACGUAGAUAUCCGGAGGAACACCAGCGGCGAAGGCGGCUUUCUGGUCCGAUACUGACGCUGAGGUGCGAAAGCGUGGGGAGCGAUCCGG
rnacentral:rRNA from 1 species